rnacentral:rRNA from 1 species
CACGUAGGGGACGAGCGUUGUCCGGAUUCAUUGGGCGUAAAGCGCGCGUAGGCGGCUCGGAAAGUCGGUCGUGAAAUGCCGGGGCUCAACCCCGGGACUGCGUCCGAUACUCCCGAGCUGGAGGCAGGUAGGGGAGAUCGGAAUUCCUGGUGUAGCGGUGAAAUGCGCAGAUAUCAGGAGGAACACCGGUGGCGAAGGCGGAUCUCUGGGCCUUGCCUGACGCUGAGGCGCGAAAGCUAGGGCAGCGAACAGG